rnacentral:rRNA from 1 species
GAUGAACGCUGGCGGCGUGCCUAAUACAUGCAAGUCGAGCGAACAGACGAGGAGCUUGCUCCUUCGACGUUAGCGGCGGACGGGUGAGUAACACGUAGGUAACCUACCUAUAAGACUGGGAUAACUUCGGGAAACCGGAGCUAAUACCGGAUAAUAUUUCGAACCGCAUGGUUCGAUAGUGAAAGAUGGCUUUGCUAUCACUUAUAGAUGGACCUGCGCCGUAUUAGCUAGUUGGUAAGGUAACGGCUUACCAGGGCAACGAUACGUAGCCGACCUGAGAGGGUGAUCGGCCACACUGGAACUGAGACACGGUCCAGACUCCUACGGGAGGCAGCAGUAGGGAAUCUUCCGCAAUGGGCGAAAGCCUGACGGAGCAACGCCGCGUGAGUGAUGAAGGUCUUCGGAUCGUAAAACUCUGUUAUUAGGGAAGAACAAACGUGUAAGUAACUGUGCACGUCUUGACGGUACCUAAUCAGAAAGCCACGGCUAACUACGUG